rfam:Idiomarina woesei strain DSM 27808 genome assembly, contig: Ga0061064_101
CGUUGGUGCUGAAUUAGUGAUUGGCACCGGCAUCUUUAAACAAUCAGGAGUAAGAUAUGUCACUAACUGCGGCACAAAAAGCGGAAAUCGUUAAAGAAUACGGUCAGGGCGAA